rnacentral:rRNA from 1 species
UACGUAGGCGGUUUACUAAGUCAGAUGUGAAAGCCCCGGGCUUAACCUGGGAACUGCAUUUGAUACUGGUAGGCUAGAGUAUGGUAGAGGGGGGUAGAAUUCAUAGUGUAGCGGUGAAAUGCGUAGAUAUUAUGAGGAAUACCAGUGGCGAAGGCGGCCCCCUGGACCAAUACUGACGCUGAGGUACGAAAGCGUGGGUAGCGAACAGGAUUAGAUACCCUGGUAGUCC